UGUAUUUAUUAGAUAAAAAACCAACGCCCUUCGGGGCUUCUUGGUGAUUCAUGAUAACUUCACGGAUCGCAUGGCCUUGCGCCGGCGACGGUUCAUUCAAAUUUCUGCCCUAUCAACUUUCGAUGGUAAGGUAUUGGCUUACCAUGGUUUCAACGGGUAACGGGGAAUUAGGGUUCGAUUCCGGAGAGGGAGCCUGAGAAACGGCUACCACAUCCAAGGAAGGCAGCAGGCGCGCAAAUUACCCAAUCCCGACACGGGGAGGUAGUGACAAUAAAUACUGAUACAGGGCUCUUUUGGGUCUUGUAAUUGGAAUGAGUACAAUUUAAACCUCUUAACGAGGAACAAUUGGAGGGCAAGUCUGGUGCCAGCAGCCGCGGUAAUUCCAGCUCCAAUAGCGUAUAUUAAAGUUGUUGCAGUUAAAAAGCUCGUAGUUGAAACUUGGGCCUGGCUGGCGGGUCCGCCUCACCGCGUGCACUCGUCCGGCCGGGCCUUCCUUCUGAAGAACCUCAUGCCCUUCACUGGGCGUGCUGGGGAACCAGG
rnacentral:rRNA from 1 species